rnacentral:lncRNA from 1 species
CCCUAGAAAAUACUUUCACUAUUUGUCCUUGAAUUAAGCAAUGAAGAAGACAACUUUCUACACUUAGAGUAAAUGCAAACAAUUACUUUUCUGGGUCCUCACUGAUUUUUCCAUUUAUCUGCUUCACCUCUCCUCUCUUUCCUUUCUGUUUUCUUCUCUCUCUUUCUCUCUUUCCUUUUCUUUCCCUUUAAUUCUGGCCCCAAAGUAUGGGCUUGGCCAGAGGAAAUACUCAGAAUGAAGGAUUGCAUCUUCCGACCAGAAGCAGGUGCUGAGGAUGGAUAUGACAUCAAAACAGAAGGGUUGAUAGGGAGGAUCAUUAACCAUCAGAGAAAUUGCUAACUGCCCUGGAACACAGCACAUUCUUGGGUGAAAAGUCACUUGAAUGCCUGUUGGAGCCAUCACUAUGGAUUGCCGGCUAUUCUGACUUGGAGUUUGAGGCUGACAUCUGAAACCACAGGGAAAUACCAAUUAUUUUGAUGGAAAUUAUUUGAAGGCAUUGGAAUACAAAUCUGUGUGAAGUGAGUUAAAUCUCCGCAAGGCCAAGAUACACUGUGUUUAAUUACACCUUCAUGGAAACUCAAUUAUAUCCUUCUUGCUGAUAGAAAACUGAAUUCCUUAAAAAUUAAAUGAAUUAAAAUUUGUGUAUGACAGGACUAUUAUACCCAUAACAGUUCCACUGCAAGUACAUGAGACUGUCAUGGCAAUAACUGAAAAACUAAAGGAGAUGUCUAUGUAGACAGCUGCUCAUUUACUGCCUGAGGCUCAGAAUCAAUCAUAACUCCAGGUGAACUGAAUCCCUCAGAGCACCAAGGGAAACCUGAGAAGCAUUCCAGGAGACCUCCGUUUGACUGGCUUUUCGGAUAUAUAUAACACAGGCUGAAGUGUGCUGUCAAAACUCAUCAUUUAAGUAUUGUAAACUCCAUUAAAAUAUUCCUUUAAAAGAGAAAGAGCUGCAGACUUGAUACAGGAAGGAUCUCUUCCAUGAUUCUGGGAUUUGGAGCUCAGGUGGUACAACGGUGAUGAAGAUGGAGAUGUGGACGUGGCCAGUGUAAACAUGGUGACUUAGCAGGGAGGACUGAUGAGUGAGGAGAGAGCAGAUGUAAUUGAAAGAGGAGAGGACUAGCCUCAGUACCCUGUGAAACAUUAGCAUUGACUACUGGGCAGGGAAGGAAGAAGCCUCGAAGGGACCUCAGAGGAGUGGUCUCUAUCCCACAGGAGUGUAUACUUUCUUUCCAGUUCUCUUUGGAUCUUUGACAAAGGAAAAUAAAAUCUAUUGUUAAGCAUUAACCAUCUCUCAAGAUAUGUUUUCCAAAAUUGUGUCUUUCCUUUAAAAUAUUCCCCAAUGCCUUCUAUUUAUUUUUUUGGGAAUUUUCUGUGAAUACUUGACCAACAUUUAUUGAGCACCUACUGUAUAGGCCCUAUCACAAGUAACAGUCACUUACACUUGCAUUAUCUCAUAUAAUGUUCACUGUCAAUGUAGAUGGGAAAUUGAUGCCCACACUGACAACGGUCCUGGAUCACAUAGCAGUAGGAAGACAGGGCCAGAAUUUGAACCUGUAUUUUCUGAAUCCUGUGAUCUUUCCACGAUGGUUGGUUGGUAUGGCUAUUUGAUACAUAUAUUGGUCAUAAAAUAUAUGUUCUUAUAUCCUUCUCAAAAGUUUAAGAUUGAUGGCUUGUGCAACCAGUCAUGUUACUACACAGUGAUACUUGAGAGUAUUGUAAAAGGCAUCAAAUAUCUAACCCUCCCAACAGAUGUCUCUCUGGCUUAUGCAGAACCUGUAUGACAAGGGACCAGAGAUAUGUGUUGGGUGAUUAUCCUCUGAACUCAGUCUCUACAAAUUUCAGUGUUUAGA